rnacentral:rRNA from 1 species
UACGUAGGGUGCAGGCGUCAAUCGGAAUUACUGGGCGUAAAGCGUGCGCAGGCGGUCUGCUAAGAGAGGUGUGAAAUCCCCGGGCUUAACCUGGGAACUGCGCUUCUAACUGGCAGGCUUGAGUGUAGCAGAGGGGGGUGGAAUUCCACGUGUAGCAGUGAAAUGCGUAGAGAUGUGGAGGAACACCGAUGGCGAAGGCAGCCCCCUGGGCUAACACUGACGCUCAGGCACGAAAGCGUGGGGAGCAAACAGG